AUUGAACGCUGGCGGCAGGCCUAACACAUGCAAGUCGAGCGAGCGGCGGACGGGUGAGUAAUGUAUGGGGACUGCCCGAUAGAGGGGGAUAACUACUGGAAACGGUAGCUAAUACCGCAUACUAUCGGAUAACCCAUAUGGGAUUAGCUAUUAGGUGAGGUAAUGGCUCACCUAGGCGACGAUCCCUAGCUGGUCUGAGAGGAUGGUCAGCCACACAUGGCCUGGGACACGGCGCAGACUCCUACGGAGGCAGCAGUGGGGAAUAUUGCACAUUGGGCGCAAUCCUGAUGCAGCCAUGCCGCGUGUAUGAGGACUGCCCUAGGGUUGUAAAGUACUUUCAGUCGGGAGGCGUUACCGAUAGAAGAAGCACCGGCUAACUCCGUGCCAGCAGCCGCGGUACUUC
rnacentral:rRNA from 1 species